GCAAAAUCUUUGGACAUAUCCUCAAUCAUUUCCAGAGGAAAAAUUCCUAAAGGUGGAUUUUCUGGAUCAAAGGAUAUUUUUGCAGAUUUUUAAAAAAGGAUUAAAUGAGGUCACGUGCAUAGUGUGCUUAACACAGUGCAGUGCUUGAUAUGCGUGUGUGUGUGCGUGUUAGAUGGCAGCUGUUACUAACUUGAGUUAUGCGUUUGGUUGGCAGGCUAUCGCUGCGUUGUUCUCGCCGGUCGCUUUAUUCUAGGAGUUGGAGCUUCACUGUGUUGUUUUUCGGGGGGUGUUAUGAAGGGAGUGUGGUGGCAGAAAGUUCAGAGCCUCCAGGAAUCAGGGAUCAAUUCUAGCCCUGCCUUUCAUGUUCCUUGUUGUGUGUGCUUUUGGUCACUUGCCCUGAGAAGGUCAUGGGUAGAGGGAGAAGAAACAGACUAAGAGCUGUCAAUCCUUAUUCGUCAAUAACUUCGCAAAGAGUUUGAACGUUGGGAGAAAGUUGAGUUUCAGGUGAAAGCAAUUUGGGGGAUUAUGCGGAUUUGACUUAGCCCUUACGGGUCUGCAGGUCCCUGAGCAUCGCCUGUGUGUGUCCCGCACGCCCUCCUGUCCCCACAUGGCUAAGAGCCGGCUCCCAGAGGGCAGAGCGGUCCAUCCAAACCGGGCAGGCUUCCAGCUCAGGUAACCACUGCACUUACACCAUUGUCCCUUUAAGAAGGGUCAGCGGGGAAUGUGUUCCUUCCUGUUUACGCUCCUGAAGGUUUUCAUGUCCACACUAACCCACUGCGGGCCUGGGCCAAGGCCAAGUUGCCAUCAAUAUAUUAAAGUAGCGGUGUUAUAAAAUUUAUGGAAGACGCACAAAGGACAAUUCCCUGAAGUGACGAGCCCGCUGAGAGGAGAUAUUGGCUAAAAGGAGAUGCCCCGCUUUGGAACAGUGUGAGAUGGAGUGCCAAGCUGGGCAGAGGCUUUGUGUGCGUGGGCUCAGAGCCGAGGGGAGUGGGGAAUCUGACCUGGUUUCAAAUCCCACCUACAACUGUUAAUUUAUUUGGUUAUCUAUUAACAGUCUCCUGGCAGCUUACUUUUAUGUUUAAAAUUAAGUGCUUGAUUGAUUAUUUUCUAGAACAGUGAUGUGAUGUUGUUCUAUACUUAAGCCAAUCCAUUAGUGGGCUCUCUCAUUACUGAUCUCUUUUCCUUCCUUUCUUGGUUCAUUGUGUGUACAUGUGUGUGUGCAUGUGUGUGUGCACUUGCGAGUGCGUAUGUGUGCGCCUGAAGGUUGGGAGAGUUGGAGGGUGGAGGAAAGGACUCUUCGUUCUGAAAAAGAAGGAAAGUUGGGCUGUUAUAGAUUCCCCAAACUACGCAGCCACAAGGAUUUUCCAGUGUCCAAGGAGGGGUCGGUAUUUCUUGGCAUGAUUCACAGGUCGAAGCAGAGUCCCAGAGAAUUUCUUGUUAUGGUGAUUUCAUUGAUCAAAAAUCUUCGCAUAAGCUUCUAUUUUUAAAAACCUCUACUCUCCUUUUACCUGCUUUGUAGGUAUCUUCAACUAUUUACAUAUUUCUAAGAUUUGCUUCUGAGGAUUGAGACUCAUUGUUUUUUAAUUCGGUUUAUUAAAUAUUAAAUAUAUUAGAAAAAUAACAUCUAUAAAGCAGAGCCUCUUGACUCUUGCGCUCGACAGGUUUCUCGGUGUUCUGCUUUCUUAUUGGUCCCUCUGCCCUUGGGGUGGCCAAGUGUAGCCCAAGGUGGCCUGACCUCCCAGGCUGUUCACCUCUGGCCGCCCAGAGUAGUGCCCUUCCAUGCUCCUCAGAGCAGCACAAGCAAAGCAGGAUCUGACCUGCGUUCUACCUGAAAAGGUUGGGAAACGCUGGAAGAAAGUGUCAAGGAUGAAAAUCACAUGAACAUCUGUGUCCGCAGCACACUGUGUGAGAACUAACCUGUGCCGUUCCUUUUGUAACCCGCCCUGAUGUGGCAGAGAUGGUCCUUUCAGCUUAUAGAUGGGAGGAAUAGGUACCCGGCAGUGUGAUUCAGUCCCUCAGUGGUGAAGUGAGGAGAUGCAUCUCGCCCCACCUGCAGACGUGCUGCCUGCGGACGUGCUCUGUCGCAGAGCCGUCAUAUAAGGAAGUCCAGCUCCCUCCGCCCUUCAUCUCAUAACCCCAGGGCUCAUCGUGAGCAAACAGCCCCUCUGUACCACGGACCAUGCUUUCAAGAAGAGGCACAUUCCUAAAAGUUUCCAUGGAGACAGAAGUUUUGUAAAUCUAAUUACAUUUAACAUACAUUUGGGAGGGAUAGGAAUCUAAAGGAGAGCUUCGAUGAGGUAAAGAAUCUUUCUCUAACACACUCCUGCCUUGGCUAAUCUGUAAGUCUAGAUUUUUGACUCAGGCUAGAACCUGUCUGAGUUCCGCUGACAUGUCUUAUUAAGAGAAAGAAACUGGAUUCCAUUAGGUAAAAAGUGGAUGGAAUAAUAGUCCCAAAAGCCAUUAUUGGAAGUUUUAUAAUGGUAAAGAACAUGAGGAUGGCCGGUGGGGGUCUGGGCUGGGGGUUGGUGCUAAUUUACCAGGUGACCUCUCAGCUCUUGUCCUUCCCAGAAGUUUGGGCAUUUCAGUUUGAGAGGACCCACUGCUUUGGCUUCAGAAGCCUAAGUAACUAACUACUCUGGCUUAAUGAGAACUAUGAUGCGGCAGAUAGGUGGGGUCGACUCCGUCUGGAGCCACCCCUCCUAAAAAGGCACACAGCUCUUCUGAAAGGAAAUCCUUAUUCCACCCUGCCUUAGUGUCCUAGGGCUGCUCUAACAAAGUCCAUAAACUAUGUGGCUUAACACCCAAGAAUUUCUUCUCUCACAGUUCCGAAGACCAGAUGUCCAAAGUCGAGGUGUUGGCCAGGCUGCGCUCCCUCCAAGGCCCUGGGGAGAAUCCUUCCUCGUCUUUUCCAGCUUCUGGGUGCUCCAGUCUGGUCUCUGAACAGGACUUUCGCUCAUGCAGACUUAUUUGGCAAAGUUCUCAAGCUCUGUUUUCCAGCAUCAGCAUCUUAUCGACCUGAGCUACAUACACACACUUAGGUAUUUACUUUUUAGAGAAAUAAAACUUCAAUACUCAUGAAAAAUAUGAGCCCUCCCCCCCCGACCCCCGACUUGCUCAGCUCCCUAACUAUUGGAAUAGUUUUUCUCAUCAAUUCAGAAAUUAGUCUGACCUUUACCUGGGGGCUGUGUGCUAGAUAUUAAGGGCUGUUGAGGGACAAUCUGUGUAGUACGGGAGGUGACAUCUGUUCUGCAGAAUGUGGCCUGCCUCGUGGGGCCAAGCUUUCACCUGUGUGAUGAGUCCUCAUCUUUCACAUUGGCUUCCUGCUCUACUGACUUUCAGUCUGUCUCUCUGGGAGGUUCUGGUGGCUGAGGAGAAAGCACUGGGCCUUUGACGAGCCUCACACAUCCAUCCAGGGCAGGCUUAGCCACAGAGCAAACCUUCAGAAAGGAAAGUGCCUUAUUUUCCCCAUGGUGGCGUGGUAUUGACCAGCGUGUGUGUGAGUGUGUGUGCUUGUGUGUGGACACGGCGGGAGGCGGGGAGGAAACCAAUUUAUAAAUCACAUCUUGCAAAUCCUUCUAUUCCGAGGUGGUCGUAAACUCAUUUCUUUGCUUUUCCUGUGCUUUGAUUUAUGGAUUGGGAUGAUGGGGACUGUGUCCCUUCUUCUGGCUGUGAGUUUGGAUUUAGUGGGGUGCUUCAUAAAAAUGUCCGCUGAUUUGCAUGCCCUGGGCUGAUUGAGU
rnacentral:lncRNA from 1 species